rnacentral:rRNA from 1 species
AGCGAACGCUGGCGGCAGGCUUAACACAUGCAAGUCGAGCGGGCCCUUCGGGGUCAGCGGCAGACGGGUGAGUAUCAAAUGGGAACGUACCCUUUGGUUCGGAAGACCGCUGGGACAGUAGCGCUAAUACCGGAUACGCCCUUUACGGGGAAGGCUUGCUGCUGAAGGUUGGGCCCGCGGCUGUUUAGCUAGUUGGUGGUGUAUUGGCCUAGCAAGGCGACGCUCAGUAGCUGGUCUGAGAGGGUGAUCAGCCACACUGGGCCGGGGACGCGGGCCGGACUCCUACGGGAGGAAGGAGUGGGGGAUAGUUGACGAGGGGCGCAAUCCUGAUCCAGCCAUGCCGCGUUAGUGAUGAAGGCCUUAGGGGUGUAAAGCUCUGUUGGCCGGGACGAUAAUGACGGUACCGGAAGAAGAAGCCCCGGCUAACUUCGUG